GCCAGUGUGAUAUACUGGUUUGAGUGUUGGACUAUGACUCUGAAGAACAAGGUUCAAUUCCUUGCUUGGCCA